rnacentral:rRNA from 1 species
AUUGAACGCUGGCGGCAGGCCUAACACAUGCAAGUCGAGCGGAUGAAGGGAGCUUACUCCUGGAUUCAGCGGCGGACGGGUGAGUAAUGCCUAGGAAUCUGCCUGGUAGUGGGGGAUAACGUCCGGAAACGGGCGCUAAUACCGCAUACGUCCUGAGGGAGAAAGUGGGGGAUCUUCGGACCUCACGCUAUCAGAUGAGCCUAGGUCGGAUUAGCUAGUUGGUGGGGUAAAGGCCUACCAAGGCGACGAUCCGUAACUGGUCUGAGAGGAUGAUCAGUCACACUGUAACUGAGACACGGUCCAGACUCCUACGGGAGGCAGCAGUGGGGAAUAUUGGACAAUGGGCGAAAGCCUGAUCCAGCCAUGCCGCGUGUGUGAAGAAGGUCUUCGGAUUGUAAAGCACUUUAAGUUGGGAGGAAGGGCAGUAAGUUAAUACCUUGCUGUUUUGACGUUACCAACAGAAUAAGCACCGGCUAACUUCGUG